UAAGCGGUGGAGCAUGUGGUUUAAUUCGGAUGGUACGCGAGGAACCUUACCAGGGCUUGACAUACGUUGGAAGCGCAUCGAAAGGUGCGUGCCGCUUGCGGCCGGCGUACAGGUGCUGCAUGGCUGUCGUCAGCUCGUGCUGUGAAGUGUUCGGGUUAAGUCCCGCAACGAGCGCAACCCCUGCUGCCUGUUGCCACCACGAGAGGUGGGGACUCAGGCGGGACCGCCGGUGACAAACCGGAGGAAGGUGGGGACGACGUCAAGUCAUCAUGGCCCUUAUGUCCUGGGCUACACACGUGCUACAAUGGCCGGUACAGAGCGCAGCGAGGCCGCGAGGCGGAGCGAAUCGCUUAAAGCCGGUCCCAGUACGGAUUGGAGUCUGCAACCCGACUCCAUGAAGUUGGAAUCGCUAGUAAUCGCGCAUCAGCAUGGCGCGGUGAAUACGUUCCCGGGCCUU
rnacentral:rRNA from 1 species